AUUGAACGCUGGCGGCAGGCUUAACACAUGCAAGUCGAGCGGGGUGAUGGUGCUUGCACUAUCACUUAGCGGCGGACGGGUGAGUAAUGCUUAGGAAUCUGCCUAUUAGUGGGGGACAACAUCUCGAAAGGGAUUCUAAUACCGCAUAUGUCCUACGGGAGAAAGCAGGGGAUCACUUGUGACCUUGCGCUAAUAGAUGAGCCUAAGUCGGAUUAGCUAGUUGGUGGGGUAAAGGCCUACCAAGGCGACGAUCUGUAGCGGGUCUGAGAGGAUGAUCCGCCACACUGGGACUGAAACACGGCCCAGACUCCUACGGGAGGCAGCAGUGGGGAAUAUUGGACAAUGGGGGGAACCCUGAUCCAGCCAUGCCGCGUGUGUGAAGAAGGCCUUAUGGUUGUAAAGCACUUUAAGCGAGGAGGAGGCUCUUUUGGUUAAUACCCAAGAUGAGUGGACGUUACUCGCAGAAUAAGCACCGGCUAACUCUGUGCCAGCAGCCGCAGUAA
rnacentral:rRNA from 1 species